CCGAUUUAGCCAUUUGAAGUAUAGAGUUCAGUGGCAUGAAGUACAUUCACAUUGUUGUACAACCAUCACCACCAUCCGUCUCCAGAAUUCUUUCAUCUUCCCAGACUGAAACUCUGCGCCCAGGAAACUCAUGCCUCCUCCCUUUGGUCUCCAUGAAUUUGACUUUCUGUCUCUGUGACUUGGACGAUUCUAGGUCUCUCGUGGAUACCCUGCUCAGGGACUCUAUGGGAUGAACGUCGUUAGUGAGGCCGGUGAGGGACACACACAUUCCUAAAGCUCACUUUGGAAGGCAAGUCUCAUCUUGUCUCUUGUCUUUUCAUUUUAACAAGCUAGAGGGAAUCUUGCUGUGCUCCGAAGUCUCUCUUGCCUUUCAGUCCCACUUGUGUGCUGGUGAGAGUGGGGGUGGGGCGGCACUCCAUCCUCCUGACCCCUCUGCUCCAGCUCUUCCUUGUUGGAAGGAGGUUUGCUGACUCGUGAAAGGCCCCUGCCUUGUGUUUCUCUGUUUGCAAGACUACCUGCCGCCCAUUGUGGGCUGACCAGGAAGCCUUCGCUUUGUCUUGGCCAAUUGACACAGCUGCACACUCGGUAAAUAGACUCAGAUGUUGAGCUUUUGUUUGAAGGAUCUUUUCAGAUUAAUGCAGAGAGAAUUAGUUUUUAAAACUUAAGCCGGAGCCAGGAUGAGUAGAAUGGAGCUGUGAGCCAUUGAAUUCACAUCCACAAAAUGAGGCCAACUGUCUUACAAGGGUAUUUAUCCCCUGUUCCUUUUGGAGGUAACAUUGAGGGGAGAGGCUCCCACUCUCCCUGGCCUCAGAGUCUUUACUCAGGUCAUUGUGAGGAGAAGAACUGACCAGCAAUUACACUCUCCAGCUUCAUUCUUCAAAGAGAGAUAGUCCAGCCCUUAGUAAGGAGAUGCAAUUACUGCAAAAUGUUUGUCAACAAUUGAUUUGGGUUUUCUUAUUUCCAGAUGAUAAGAGAUUCUGAUAAAUAAUGUAAGAGGAUCCAUGGCCUCCAGCAAAGACCAUUUUAGCAGAUAUGCAGACAGGGCAGCAGUCUGGACUCAGCACUGAUCACCACCUCAGACUCUUCAGCCUUCAUUAUUUAUACCACCCAACCUGUGCCUCACCAACGCACUCAUUCGGAACCAUUCCCUGUUGAGACACCAGUAGCAGUCACAGGUCUCAAUGGAUGGCUGGUCUCUUGAGGGUGGGGCCAUACCUUGGAGUUCUCCCGUACCUACCAUUUCACUUAACACAGUGUCUGAGUGACUGUCACCCCACCCACGACCCAUGCACACCCUUCCCACCGCUCCCCCAAAUACACACUCACUAACAGAAAAAGAACUGCUGACAAAACAGAAGAGACUCCUCCAUGGGAAGAACACUGGAAUGGGAAUCAGAAGAAAUGGGCCAGGCGCGGUGGCUCACACCUGUAAUCCCAACACUGUAGGAGGUCGAGGCAGGAGGAUCACCUGAGGUCACAAGUUCGAGACCAGCCUGACCAACAUGGUGAAACCCCCUCUCUACUAAAAAUACAAAAAUUAGCUGGGCCUAGUGGCGCAUGCCUGUAAUCCCAGCUACUCAGGAGCCUGAGGCAGGAGAAUUGCUCGAACCCGGAAGGCAGAGGUUGCAGUGAGCCGAGAUUGAGCCACAGCACUCCAGCCUGGGCGACAGAGUGAGACU
rnacentral:lncRNA from 1 species